rnacentral:tRNA from 2 species
GGGGGUAUAGCUCAGGGGUAGAGCAUUUGACUGCAGAUCAAGAGGUCCUUGGUUCAAAUCCAGGUGCCCCCU